rnacentral:rRNA from 1 species
AACGUAGGAGACAAACGUUAUCCGGAGUUACUGGGCGUAAAGGGCGUGUAGGUGGUUAUGUAAGUCUGGCGUGAAAUUUUUCGGCUUAACCGGGAAAGGUCGUCGGAUACUGCAAGACUAGAGGACGGUAGAGGCGUGUGGAAUUCCGGGUGUAGUGGUGAAAUGCGUAGAGAUCCGGAGGAACACCAGUGGCGAAGGCGACACGCUGGGCCGUACCUGACACUGAUGCGCGACAGCAUGGGGAGCAAACAGG